UUGUGUUAGGGAUUGUUGUGAAAAUCCUUUUUUAUUUUUCUUAAAAAAGAUUGUAACGAAAAGCCCGACCCCUU
rnacentral:sRNA from 1 species